rnacentral:rRNA from 1 species
CGUAUAUUAAAGUUGUUGCAGUUAAAAAGCUCGUAGUUGGAUUUGUGGCUGGUCACGGUGGGGUGCCCUAUUGGGUGAUCCUGUUUGUGUCUGCCAUCUUUGGGUGGAAUCUGGGUGUCAUUAGGUUGUCGCCUGGGGGAUGCCUAUCUUUUACUGUGAAAAAAUUAGAGUGUUCAAAGCAGGCUUAUGCCGUUGAAUAUGUUAGCAUGGAAUAAUGAUAUAGGAUUUCGAUACUAUUUUGUUGGUUUGCGUAUUGAGAUAAUGAUUAAUAGGGACAGUUGGGGG